rnacentral:rRNA from 1 species
UACAUAGGGGGCAAGCGUUAUCCGGAAUUAUUGGGUGUAAAGGGUGCGUAGACGGAGAAACAAGUUGGUUGUGAAAUCCCUCGGCUCAACCGAGGAACUGCAACCAAAACUAUUUCCCUUGAGUGUCGGAGAGGAAAGUGGAAUUCCUAGUGUAGCGGUGAGAUGCGUAGAUAUUAGGAGGAACACCAGUGGCGAAGGCGACUUUCUGGACGAUAACUGACGUUGAGGCACGAAAGUGUGGGGAGCAAACAGG